AGACGUCUACAUUAGAUACCCGGGUAGUCCCAGCCGUAAACUAUGCGCGUUAGGUGUAUCGGUGACCACGAGUCACCGAGGUGCCGAAGGGAAACCGUGAAACGUGCCGCCUGGGAAGUACGGUCGCAAGGCUGAAACUUAAAGGAAUUGGCGGGGGAGCACCACAACGGGUGGAGCUUGCGGUUUAAUUGGAUUCAACGCCGGAAAUCUUACCGGGACCGACAGCAACAUGAAGGCCAGGCUGAAGACUUUGCCGGAUUAGCUG
rnacentral:rRNA from 1 species